GUUAGAGAAGAGGAAUUUGAAAUGUUGCUUGGAAAUGGGCCUGGUAGACAGGAACAAAAGAGUUCCUGCUGAAAUCCCCGAAGCUGUCACUCCAAAGAGCAGUCUUGAUCACUCUAGACUGUACGCAUGAGAACAUGUAUUGUGGUUGUCAACUGGCCAUCGAACCUUGGAUGAUCCACCACUACCAAAGAUCAGCAUCCCCUGACAUCAAGAGCCCUCUCGAGGAAUUUCUCUGAAACAGAUUCACAAAUGCCUGUGUGACAGAGCUCCC
rnacentral:lncRNA from 1 species